GUGGUAAUCUUUAAAAGUCCGAAGACCGCAGGUGCUUUAAAAAAGCUUAAUUCCUGCCGAGGAAAACAACUAACUUUUUAAGAUAAUUGUUAACUUCCUCGGGACACCGAGGUUUUUCAUUUUAAGA
rfam:Candidate division CPR1 bacterium GW2011_GWC1_49_13 TY40_C0026, whole genome shotgun sequence.